GGCUCGGUGGUGUAGUUGGUUAUCACGUCAGUCUCACAGCCUCACCUGUGCGACCACUGAAGGUCCCGAGUUCGAACCUCGGCUGAGUCA
rnacentral:tRNA from 1 species